rnacentral:rRNA from 1 species
CGGGACGGGUGAGUAAUGCUUGGGAAUCUGGCUUAUGGAGGGGGAUAACUACGGGAAACUGUAGCUAAUACCGCGUAGUAUCGGAAGAUGAAAGUGCGGGACCGUAAGGCCGCAUGCCAUGGGAUGAGCCCAAGUGGGAUUAGGUAGUUGGUGGGGUAAAGGCCUACAAGCCUGCGAUCUCUAGCUGGUCUGAGAGGAUGGCCAGCCACACUGGAACUGAGACACGGUCCAG